rnacentral:rRNA from 1 species
UACGUAGGGUGCGAGCGUUGUCCGGAAUUACUGGGCGUAAAGAGCUCGUAGGUGGUUUGUCGCGUUGUCCGUGAAAACUCACAGCUCAACUGUGGGCGUGCGGGCGAUACGGGCAGACUGGAGUACUGCAGGGGAGACUGGAAUUCCUGGUGUAGCGGUGGAAUGCGCAGAUAUCAGGAGGAACACCGGUGGCGAAGGCGGGUCUCUGGGCAGUAACUGACGCUGAGGAGCGAAAGCGUGGGGAGCGAUCCGG